UAAUUUCUACCCAUAAUUUCUACCCAUUUCACCGCGGUAAACCAUGGUUUACGUGUAAACGACAAACAGGUACGGGUGUUUUCUGUUUACUAUUUUUGGGCGUUUAAAUAGUUCAAAUUUUCAACUGUCUUAAGGUGGAUUUCCAGUCCUCGCACUCCAAUCACAACUCUAAACAGUUAAUUUUAAUUAGAUGCAAGCACUCGCAGCGAGCUGCGAGGAGCUUUGUGCGACGACUGGAAAUCCGCCUUUACCCGAAAUAAAAAAAGGCACAUAUGCUGGUCAAAGUUAUCAACAAUUUAUGGCGAACUUCAACAGCGAAAGUAAGUAAGUAAGUAAGUAAGUAAGUAAGUAAGUAAGUAAGUAAGUAAGUAAGUGAACUUUAUUUAACCACGGUAGACUCAUCAGGAUUUACAAUAAAAUAGACAAGGGACAUUACAAAAAACAAAAUAUGGAAAUACAUUAUUAAUACCUGUUUUCCAUGAGUGCCGUGCAUUAUUAACUAAUUAAUGAUGUAGAUAGGAGUAAAAAUAUUAAAAUUAUCGAAUGAAGUUGCUACAAUCAGCCUUGAAUUUACGUAAAGAGCUAGCCUGCCGUAAUUCUGUAGGAAGAGAAUUCCACAGUACCGCACCACUGUAACUAAAACUAUUUUUCAAAUAGUUUGUACGCGGUUGUGGUAUCGCUAGUUUGCCGGUGGUGUCUCUCAACGUAUAAUUUGUAAUGUUACUGCGAUCAACAAACAUUUCGGAGAGGUAAUCUGGUGCAAGGCCAUUCACAGAUUUAUAUACCAUGAUAGCU